CAGCAGCCGCGGGAAUACGAAGGGUGCAAGCGUUACUCGGAAUUACUGGGCGUAAAGCGUGCGUAGGUGGUGGUUUAAGUCCGUUGUGAAAGCCCUGGGCUCAACCUGGGAAUUGCAGUGGAUACUGGGUCACUAGAGUGUGGUAGAGGAUAGUGGAAUUUCCGGUGUAGCAGUGAAAUGCGUAGAGAUCGGAAGGAACAUCUGUGGCGAAGGCGACUAUCUGGGCCAACACAGACACUGAGGCACGAAAGCGUGGGGAGCAAACAGGAUUAGAUACCCCAGUAGUCCCUGUCUCUUAUAA
rnacentral:rRNA from 1 species